AUUAAACGCUGGCGGAAUGCUUUACGCAUGCAAGUCGAGCGGCAGCGCGGCCUUCGGGCUGGCGGCGAGCGGCGAACGGGUGAGUAAUGCAUCGGAACAUGCCCAGUCGUGGGGGAUAACACUUCGAAAGAAGUGCUAAUACCGCAUACGUCCUGAGGGGGAAAGCGGGGGAUCGCAAGACCUCGCGCGAUUGGAGUGGCCGAUGUCAGAUUAGCUAGUUGGGGGGGUAAAGGCCUACCAAGGCGACGAUCUGUAGCUGGUCUGAGAGGAUGAUCAGCCACACUGGGACUGAGACACGGCCCAGACUCCUACGGGAGGCAGCAGUGGGGAAUUUUGGACAAUGGGGGCAACCCUGAUCCAGCCAUUCCGCGUGAGUGAAGAAGGCCUUCGGGUUGUAAAGCUCUUUCGGCAGGAACGAAACGGUGGGCUCUAACAUAGUCCGCUAAUGACGGUACCUGAAGAAGAAGCACCGGCUAACUACGUG
rnacentral:rRNA from 1 species